rnacentral:miRNA from 1 species
AAGAUGAGAGGAGAGAAUGAGAGGGACCAACAAAAGUGAAAACAAAAACUAAAAACUGAAAUCUAUUUUAAAUUGUUUUCACUUUCAAGAUUUUGUUUUCACUUUUGUUACUCAUCCCUCUCUUCCUCUCUCUAAAUCUCA